rnacentral:rRNA from 1 species
UACGUAGGGUCCAAGCGUUAUCCGGAAUCACUGGGCGUAAAGCGUGCGUAGGUGGGUAAUUAAGUGCGAUGCGAAAUCCUGUGGCUCAACCAUACGGACUGUACCGCAUACUGGUUAUCUAGAGGAUAUGAGAGGCAAGUGGAAUUACCGGUGUAGCAGUGAAAUGCGUAGAUAUCGGUAGGAACACCAAUGGCGAAGGCAGCUUGCUGGCAUAUUUCUGACGCUAAGGCACGAAAGCGUGGGGAGCGAACAGG